rnacentral:lncRNA from 1 species
AAAGAAAAAUCGAUUACCAUCCCUCAUUCUCCCUCACUCAAUCUACUGAAAUUCUAGACGAAGGGCCCCUCCCUCUCGUCCUCCUUCGCCACCGCAGCCAACGAGGUAGAGUUCCGGCGGUUGCUAGAUGUUUAAAUAAGUGUUGCUAAAUUAGCAGCACUUUUUUAGGUUUUAGCGACACUCUUUAACUGUCCCUAUAUACCUAGCGACCCCACAUAUAGCAACACUUUUUAAAAGUGUCGGUAAUUUAGCCAGCAACACUUUUUUUGGCCUAUACCGACAUUUAAAAGUGUCGCUACAGACCUUUUUUUUUGUAGUGUUAGUGAAAAAAAAGUAGUCUUUGAAUGAGAAUGUUUUAAGAUUACAACCCACUUUAGGUUGUAAACUUAGCAUUUGUUCCUCUAGAACUCAUGUUUCAUCAACAUCAUCAGUGAUCAAUUUUGUUCCACACGACCAUUUUCAAAAUAUAUAAUGUUUAUAAAUAUAAAGGAUCAAAAAACUUCUCAUUAAACUGCUAUUUUGGUUAAAAAUUAAAAUUUCUAAAAAUAUUCAGAAAAUAAUAAAAUUUACCAAAUAUUUUUAAAUUUCUUAAUUUUUUACAAAAAUUUAAAAAUAUUUUUAAUUAAAAUAAUCCUUCCUAGCAGUCAACUUUUUGACUAUUGGAAAUGGUGUUUUUGGUGCUAUGGAUCAAAAUCCAAAUCUUCUUGACCCUUGGAAGAAGGCCCAUCUUUGGGAGAAGGGCCUGCCCAUCUCCCAAAGGAUGGCUCUGUUCUUGGGCCUUCUCCCAGGUCCAAGGCCUGUCUCGGGCGGCCCUUGCUGGCCGAGCCGUGCUGGUCAGGCAGGCAUGUCAAAAUUUUGGACAGCUUUAGAACUCAUAAUGUCCAUUACGCUGGGCCGGACCAACAUAGAUUCUACAGUAUUUGUGUUGUGUCUCAGCUAUGAAUGCAAUUAUAAAUGUCAAAAUUUAACAUUUGACGUAUAUUCAUAUUUGAAUUCGUAUUCAAAAAAAAAAAGAAAAGAAGACGCAAAUAUGGUUUCUUAUGAAUUUCAUAUUCAAAUUCUAUUUAUAUUUAUCAAAAUAUUAAGUUUCGCUGGAUAAAAAAUUUAUUGAACAAAAUAUAAGCUUAAACGCUAAUGUGAACCUUCAAUUGCAUUGUGUGUUUUAUUUGAGUUAAUUUUAGUUUAUAUUUAUCUAUGGAGCUAGGUCCCUAUACUUUCAAAAAUACGGAGGUUUUUAUGCUUGUAAUUUGUUUUUGAUGAUGAGACGACGUCCAUUUCGACGAUCAACUCCGUCGGCAUGAUAUACGCUAUUGGAACUAAUUUAUAAACUACAUCUCACAAUUUUUUUGACUUUAUUUGUCUAAUGGAUGAGAAAUCUCAAAAUGAACGACUGAAAAUAAAAAUAUCAUAAAAAAUAAUGAUAAAAGACUAAAAUUUCAAAUGGAAAGUAUUGUCUUGCUCUUGAUCUUAAGUAAAAUUUUCUAUUAAAGUUUUAUAUAAUUUGGAUUCUUCCACACCAUUAAACUUACAAACAUAUCACAUAAGCUGUUAAAAUAGUCAUUUUUUAGACUAUUUAAUUACUUGGUAAACAAUAUCGAAAAAUUAUAAAAUUUAAUUUCUAAAUAGUUCUAAUAGUUAGAUCAUACCUAAUAGAGCUGAUCGUCAAAUUGGAUGUCCUAUUAUCCAAAAUAACUUAUAAGUACGGAGGCCUCUAUAUUUUUGAAAACAUAGGAGAUGUACUCUUUAUAUAUGUAUAUCAGUAUAUAUUAUUAUCCAAAUAAUAUCCGAAUAUAAAUCUGGCUCAUAUCUGAAUCCGAAUUCGUUUUAUAUUAACGAAAAUUUAGCGGCCAACACAUAUCCACAUUCGAAUUUGCAUCCAAAGAAAAAUAUGGAUGCAAAUAUGGUUUUUUCAAGAAUCCGAUCAUAUUAGACUGAUUUCAGCCCUAGCUAGUCCCAACCCAGCCUGUUUUCAUGUCAGGAUGAGUGACUCAUGGGCUGCCUGACCCAUUGUCGUGCCAGGUUAGGCAGCUCACGAGCCGCCCGACCCGUCUUACGCCCUUAUAUAAUAUUCUUAUUUCAUUUUGUCUUCCAUCUUGUUGUCUAUAAGGAAUUAUCAUGAAUUAUUCUGCUAUUAUAACUUUGGGGUUGUAUGGUAAUUUUCGGUGGAAAAAUUUUUUGGAGGAAAAACCAAUUUUAUGCUCUUUACUGUUUGAUUUGUAGAAAAAAAAAAGUUUUCCAUCACAUGCAGUCGUUUGGUAGAAAGGAAAAAAAAAAGAAAAAAAUAUAAAACUAUUAUAUGUAUUGUUCCUAUUUUAUAUAUUAUUAUACAUUACUGAUAUAUAAUAAUUAUCAUACUACAUAUAUUAUUAUUUUAACUUUAUUUGUAAAUUAAAUAUACCAAAAUUAUAUUAUAUAAUAAAUUGAUAAGUAUACAAUAUAAUUUAUGUAAUAGUAUGUACAUAAUACUAUAUAAUAAAAAUAUAAAAUAUAUAUAAUUUCAACCGCUCUCUUAUAUAAAUUUGUACAAUAAUCCAAAUAGUGCAUGGCCCUCUGCGUAGGCAACUCACGCCGUGCACGAGGGACCACGUGAGCUUUCCACCGAUGGACUCAAUUUAAAGGUGUUCGUGGAUCGGGUGGGAUCUGGAUAGUUGAUAUGCUGUAUCUGUACCUUAAAAAGAAAUUGUUAGAAAAAAAAAUAUACCUUACCUAUUUAACUUCGGGUCGGGUUUGGGUCUAGAUACUUUAAAUUACUAAUAUACCAAUUAGGUCUAUUUGAGUGAGUUUGAGUAAUGACUACCCAUAUAUUGCCCGUUCAAGACUGAAUACGGGUCGGAUCUAAAUCGGGUAUGGGUAUCCAUAUACAUAUAUUUUUUUUAUAGACUUUAUUAAAUAGUCUGUGGACAAAUUAUAAAUCUCCCUCUGUAAAAAAACUCGCAUUCUAAUAAAUUGUACCCAGUCCAAUAAAAUUCAUUCAAAAUAAAAAAUAAAAUAUCUCAAUACAUAGGUCUAAAAAAUAUGCACCUAUCAUAAAAUAAUAUGAACAAUAUAAUACCACAAUAUAUAUGGGGCUCAAACACAUGCUCUUAUUAUUAUAUAGUUAAAAUGCAUAUAUGAAACAUUACAAUGAAAAAAUAAGUUCAAGUUUUUAAUUUUCACGAGUGAACAAUAAGAUAAUAGUUAAAAUAACUAAUAAAAUAGUUAUCAAAUUUUUUGUCGAUUGAUUCUUUUUGCGAGAUUUUCAGUAACAAAAAUGUUGAACUUGUCAAAUAAACUCUUAUCGGAAAUGAAACAAAAAAAAUAAAGAGUAAAAAAAUUAGAAAAAAGAAAGAAGUAAAAGAGUGGCUAGGGUUUCCGGUGUUUCAUUAGGAUGACAAUACUUAGAGACCGCUCAUCUAUAAGUGCUAUUAAAAUUGAUCCCUCAACUUUCAAAAGUUUAAAUCUUUUUUAUUCACUAUCGGAUAUUUCAUCGGGUCCGGAUUCGAAUACGGAUUUGAAAACUAUUCCAGACCCUACCUAUUUAAAAGUUGGGAUCAGGUCGGGUCCAAGUCAGGUAUAGGUAUAAAAUAUCCGGACCCAUACUCCAAACUUUAAUGGGUAAUUUUUUUUACCCAUAUACUGUCCAUUUUUUUUCGGGUUCGGUACGAAUCCGGAUAGGGUCCGGAUCAGGUAUGGUAUAUCGGAUAUUUUGGAUAGCUUUAGAACUCAUAUGUCGUGUAUUUUGUAGAGCGCAACUUUUCGUUUUCUACCGUCUUCUCUCGCAAAAGGAAAAGCUCGAUCUUAUUCUGUAAAAUAAUUUACGCGGAAAUAAAUUUUAGAAUGAACCAAACCGUUUGAAAAUUGUUUUCAGUCCGAAAUACAAUUUUCGGCCUACGUUUACAAGUAAACUAACACACCCUAAAACAUCUCCUUAAACAUUCGCAUAUUUUUUGGCUAGUUUUCUAUUUGGAUUCCUAUAUAUUCACUCAUGUGGUAAUUCAUCAUUCUAUUUGUUUAGAUAUCAUCAUAUGUAUAUCUAGGAAAUCGUAUGCUUUGGAAGAAGCUUGUACAUUUUGGGAAGCCCUUUCCUUACCACACACUUCUUAAUUUUUUUAUCCUAAAUCACACCUUCUGUUCCCCAUCUUCCAUACAAAUUUCUUUAUCGUAAAUCAAAUACUUUUUUUUUUAAAAAAAAAAUUUGGGUAGAAAUCAACUACUAUAUAUUUCAUCUUUCACGCAAUAAACUCAUUUUAAUCAAAUUCCAUUUGUUUAACUCAGCACGCCUCAAUCUCUCACACACACAAACUUAAUUUUCUACUGCGUUAAUCUAGCUAGCGAUCCCAAAAUGAGAUGUUUCGCCACUAAAGAAGAAUCAGUACUACAUUCCACAUUUGAUAGCUUGAAUAAAUUUACGGGAAAAAAAAAGAAAAGUUAGUUGAUGAAAAGGAAAGCAGAGGUAUUAGUAGAGGUGAGACAUACUUGGUUGUUCCUUCCCUGGGUGUUGCUGCUCCGACAACUUGCCCACUACUUAAUUAGAAAUCUUGAUCCGUCGUACUCUUCGAGUACUUAUUGUGUUGGAUAUAAUAGGGCCAAAUGCUUUUGAUUUUUCCAAGGGGAAAAUUUGGUAACGUGGGUCUGGAGCUGGCGUAUAAAAUGUUCACAUGGGCAGCCAUUACUGACCGCCAAGCACUAGGUAUGCUUUUUAUAACAUAUUUAAGAUUGCGUUAUGUCGGCAUGUCUCCGGUUGUUCGUUGACAUACACAGAAGACAUUCGCUUUCGUAAUUAUAAAGAUCUAUAUGAUUAAUAAGUAAUAUAAUAUAUAUAGAUAAUAUAUAUUAUUUAUAUAUAUAUAUAUAUAUACUAUUAGAAGUUGAGCGUGGCAUUGCUAUCUGUUAGCAAACGGGUGCCGUUCACCAUUUAUUUCGAUGAUGGAAGUUUCAAAUCGCACAUCGAGCACCGAUUGAACAUGAUCUUAUAUCACUUGAAGUAUUUAGAAAGAUUAAAUUUCAAUCUGUUUCGACUCAUUUACGCGGUGUAAUGAUCAAAAGAUUUCAAAGAUAGUAAUUUUAACUGUGUGAUAUGAGGGGUUUCCGUUUAACCGGUAUAAAGCUAGUCAAAGUCAAUUGAAUUUUAUAUAUAAAAUUUGUUUAAUAUAUUUUAGAAUAAGAUCUCUACUUCGAUCGAUGAUUAUUUAAAUUUCUUUAUCUUUUUGGGAGGAUAUUCAUUUUUCACAGUUCAUUUUUACGCGCCACUUGUAUGGACAAGAAAAGCAGUAUCAGGAAUUAAGUUAUGAAAUUUGAGUUUCUAGAUACUUCAAAGGUGGGUAUAGAUAUUUUCAAAGAGGUGCGAGUCGGUCGACUUUGGAGGCGUCUAUCAUCGGGACAAAUGGCGCGAGGUGCCAACGGAGCCUUUUGCUACGAUAGUAUUCAGUCAACGAUAUAUGAUAUAGUAUAUAUAGUAUGAUAUUGUGGCUGAGGAGCUUUGAAGCAGGAAGGCCGCUUUGUGUUCACUUGUGUUUUCGAUGUUCGGACUUUCGAGACGACGGAUCGGCUCCAUGUUUAGACUUGAUCUAGAGUAUUGAAGUAUCUAGAAAUAAAUUUGCAACUUUUUCGAUAUCAUUUUCGCCUAGUAAUUCGAAGUCGUGCUCCAAAAUCAACGCUGAAAUAAAAAUCUUACAAAAUAUUGAUGAUAUGGACAUUAAAAUUUAUAAAUCAAAGUUAUUGAGUCUUGUUUUAUGUGUAGUUAAGAAUUCUAUUCAAAAAUUUCAAUGUUGAUUUGGUAUUUCUACACCGUUAAAGCUUGCAACGGCUACCAAGGGCCGUUAAAAUUAUUGGAUAUUUGAGCCUUCGAUUGCAUAUUUCAAGAGAUUAUGAAGAUGACAAAGUAUUUAUUAUGAUCAACUUUAGUUUGUUUUGUGUUUUUAGGGCAGCGAAAACGAGCUUGGAAGACUUGAGGCGCUCCGGUGCUUCCAUAAAUCACUUACAACUUUCUCUCUCUCUCUCUCUCUCUCUCUCUCUCGUUUUUUUAAUAUAUAUUAUAUUAUUAUAUAAAAUAUAUUAUUCAUUUAAACAGUAUUACACUCUUUUUAAACCGUUGAUCUAAAUAUAAUCUAAGGAUCGAGGUAAAGCAAUGGCGACUUUUUUAUUUCUAUGUCAAAAUACUCUUCCUCACUCCAUAGGAUGUGACACCACUUUAAUAGCCUUGGAUUUCACAUUUAUUUACAUAGGAUGUGACACCACUUUAAGGUUUGUUACUCUAACUAUUUGCAUUAAUUUUAGGCUAAAUUACAGAAAACCCCCUGUAAUAACCCGCUUUUUCACUUUCCCCCCCUGACAUUUAAAAAUCUACACUUUGCCCCCUGUAAAAUAAAAAAUGUUCACAGGGGGGUUAUAGUAUGUAAAAUGACCAUUUUGCCCCUUGUCAUUGUCGUCUUCUUCCCCAUCUUCCUCAGCCGCCCCUUUGUUCGGCCGCGAUUCCCACCUCAAUCGGCCGCGAUUUCUCUCCAUUUCCUUCCUACCUGCUCCCUUUCUCCUCCUGCACCCUCGCCGCCCUCGAUUUCGGCGACAGUAGGAGAAAACCGAGGUGGGCGACAGUAGGAGAAGGGCAAAGAAGGCGAAGGCGAGGCAGCGGAGGACGACAAAGGGGAUGUGGAUGAGGGCGAGGCAGUGGAGGACGGCGAGGCGGCGAGGCGGCGGCGAGGUGGCGAGCCGGAAGGAGUCGAAGCAACAGGGAGAUGGCGGAGGAAUAUUUUCAGCAUAAAAAUAUAUUUUUUAACGGAACCCUAACGGUAGGGGGUGAAGUGCACAUUUUUUAUUUUACGGGGGGGCAAAGUGUUGGUUUUUAAAUGUCAGGGAGGGAAAGUGAAAAAGCGGGUUAUUAUAAGGGGGUUUUCUGUAAUUUAGCCUUAAUUUUAUGUGCACUUAAAACAUUCGUUUUUUUUUAAGUGUGAAAGCAAAUAAUGAAGUUUAAUAGUAAAAUAUAUUAUAAAGGGGUUAUUGCUAUAAUUGGCCCUAGAACUUUACUUUGUUAAUAAUUUCUUAAAAAUUUUAUUUAUUUUAAUGUGAAUUGUUGCAGUCAAUUAAAUUUUGAAUUUUUUAUAAAAUUAAAUUUCAGUGUAUUAAAAUCAAUUGCAACCAUCCAAAAGCAUGGAAAGAAAUAAAAUGUUGAUAAUUUUUUAUCUAAAUAUUGCCAGUUUUUAUAUAAAUUAUUUUGCUGUAAAAAUUUUACUUAUAUUAAAAAUUAUCAACCAAAGUCAUCUUAGUUAGUACAGGAAAACUGAUUAUAUAGUGGGUUUACAAUGGAGGGGAAAAAAAAAGGGAGUGAAACCCAAGGCUAUUGUAGUGAUGUCAAAUCAUAUGAAGUAGGGAAGAGUAUUUUAGCAAAGAAACAAAAAGUUGCCUAUUGUUUCAUCUCAAUCCUUGGAUUGUACUUAGAUCUACGGUUCAAAAAGAGUGUAAUACUGUUCAUUGUUACACUUAUGUUAUUUGAACUUGACUCUAUAUAUAUAUAUAUAUAUAUAUAUAUAUAUAUUAUAUAUAUAGAGAGAGAGAGGGACGGCAGAGAUGAUGACGGGAGAAAGAGGAUUGAGAUUGGAAUAGGAAGCUGAGUGAAGACGCGAGAGAGAGAGAGAGGUUGGCUUGUGCAUGGUAUCAUGCAAUAGCACCCAAGGAUUUGUGCUAUCGAGUUUUUACCGUUAGAUUUAACCCUAUGAUUAUUUUACCCGGUUAGAUUAUACUAUUCAACCAACCAUUCACUCAACCUAUGCGAACCCACAUCAUCCUAACCACCCAUUUCUCAAUCCAAGGGCUAAAAAUCAAUAGCACCAAUAGUUGGUGCUAUUGAUAGUAUCCAGCCCCAUAGUUAUAUAUAAUAUCAUAAUAUAUAUAUAUAUAUAUAUAUAUAUAUAUAUAUAUAGUGUAGAGCUACUAUGCUAUUGGAAGUAUAGAGAAUCUGAUGCUUCCAACUUUUUGAACAUUGGAUAAAAAAUUAUACGGUUAGGAUGGUUGCGAUCCCCCCAGAGUUGAGUAGUACCCUUAGGGUUGAGUGGUCCCCAUAGGGUAAUAGUAUUAAUCCAAAAGUUAGAAAUGAUCAAAGGGGUUGAUCUAAGGGCCAACAAAUUGAAAGCACCAGAUCCUCUAUGAUUCUGAUAGCAUAGUAGCUCUACUAUAUAGAGUUGGGCUGGAAUGCUAUCGGUAGCAAACGAACUCCGUUGCCACCUAUUUGUUUUCGAUGAUGGAGCCUUCAAAUCGACGAUCGGUACCGUUGAAUAUGAUCUAAAUCACUUAAAGUAUCUAGAAAUCAAAUUUCAAAUCUUUUCGACAUCAUUAACCUAAUGAUCAAAGGGUUUCAAAAUUUGUAAUUUUAAUGGUAGAUAUGAGACAUUUUCUUGUUUAACGGUGUAAAGCAAUCCAAAUCAAUUGAAUUUUGGUUAGAAAUUCUUUAACCUAUUUAGAACAAGAUCUAUACUCUCGAUCUUGAUUAUAAAAUUCCAAUCAUCACUUUUUAGAGGAUAUUCAUUUUCAGCCGUUCAUUUUUACGUCCACUUGAUGGACAAGAGAACAAUAUCGAAAAAGCAUGAAAUUUGAUUUCUAGAUACUUCAAGUGGUAUAGAUCAUGUUCAACGGUGCCGAUCGUCGAUUUGGAGGCUCCAUCAUCGAAAACAAAUGGGUGGCAACGGAGCCCGUUUGCUACCGAUAGUAUUCCAGCUCAACUC